rnacentral:rRNA from 1 species
GUGUCAGCAGCCGCGGUAAUACGAAGGGUGCUAGCGUUGUUCGGAUUUACUGGGCGUAAAGGGCACGCAGGCGGCCAAACAAGUCAGAGGUGAAAUCCCAGGGCUCAACCCUGGAACUGCCUUUGAAACUGUUUGGCUAGAGACCGAGAGAGGUGAGUGGAAUUCCUAGUGUAGAGGUGAAAUUCGUAGAUAUUAGGAGGAACACCAGUGGCGAAGGCGGCUCACUGGCUCGGUACUGACGCUCAUGUGCGAAAGCGUGGGGAGCAAACAGGAUUAGAUACCCCUGUAGUCC